rnacentral:lncRNA from 1 species
AACUGAGCUGGUCCCCAGGACUGUGUAUUUAGUUUUCAACUGUAAGAAAAGGAAGUCUAUCUGGGAAAGGAGACCUGAGGUGCUGAAAAACAAGGGAAAAAAUGGUCUUGAAAACAAGGAAUCAUAUUUGCCUGUGGAUAUGGAAGAGUUUCAGAUUUGUAAUUAUUGCUGAGCGCAAGAAAACAUCAGGAAGAUUUGUGGUUUAUGGAAGAAUAGGCACCUUCCAACGUUAAUCUUAUCUCCCUAUUGCAGGUAACUAGUAUCUUCAGCUGGAAAUAUCAAAUGCAAAUCUCUUAAUUUGUUUAACACAGAGAUUUUAAUUUCCCAUUCAUAUCAGUGUCUGUAUACUCCUGAGUUUUACACAAUGCUUGUCCUCCUUUAGUUGGCUUGUACAGUAUUGUUUUUUCCAGUUAUAAAUAGAGAACAUUGGGCAUGUGGGUUAUCAUUUUUAAUUGAGCUAAAUUAAGCUAAUCAUAAAAAUUCUUCUUGCCAGUGAUUAGG